rnacentral:lncRNA from 1 species
CUGUCUUUGCCUCUGACAGAGUACCUGCAAACCACUGAAAGGGGGAGGAGUCUGGCUUAUGCUUCAGGGGCUGUAGUCUGUUUUGGUGGCAGGCGGAGCAUGCUGGGAGCCGGAGGAGGCUGUUUGUCACCUUGGCAGUCAGGUCCAUAGGAGGCAGAGCUGGACAAGUCCUCCAGGGACCCAGCAACCCACCACCUCCUAAACACACCCACAGUGGGGGACAGUUCACACGUACCUACCGUGGCUAAGAUCCCCCUCAGCUGCAGGCUGUAUCUGAGGUGUCAAGCACGGAGGCGCUGGAGAACUCCAUGUUGCUGUUGGUCCUGGUUGGGUUCUGAAUGGAAGAUGCUGGAGGAUGAUUCUCUGACUGCCUUUCCACCUUUCCAGGGAGAUGGCUGGGUGUAUCACAAACCCCUGUGGAAAGGAAUUCCAUCACAACCAGCAGAGUGACACGCGCUUUCUAAGACUGGACCAAACGAGGUUCUCCUCUGUGUACCCCAAGCCCUGUCAGAUGGAGUUGUUGCUCUGAGUGACCUGCCUCCUAACUGUACAGCCUGAACACGGAUGUACCUGCUGAGCCCGUCACCCUGCAGCAAGACCAAAGUGUUACGGACAUGUGAUGGGCCUCUCCAGCCUGCUCACACACAUGAGCCUUUCCCUACCAGUCCAGUCCAUGCUUCAUCUUUGAUCUGAUCUGAAAGCUGCUCGAGCCCUGCUCUGUUCAGGGGCAGCACACAACAGCAGAGAGAACUCAGUGACUUUGUAGUAAGAAGUCAGGUCUCUCGCAGCGUCUGUUUGGCUUUCUGUCCAUAGCUGAAGUAUUCUCUGCUCUUGUAAGCCAGCCAAGGAGAGAAAUGUGACCUUCAAGUGGAUUCAGCCGCUGUGCCUGAAGUCAGUGUUCACACAUCACUGGGCUGUAGUACCAUGGCCUCUCUUCCUCCGGAGGCCUUGCCUGUGUCUGAGGAAGCCCAUCAAUUGCUCUGUUGGAACUCUCUUUUAAAAGUGUAUUUAUAAUUAGAAUUGUAACCAUGGAGGAAUUUUUUUCUUCUGAGCAUUUUAAUAUACUUGAAAAAACAUUGACUUGAAAAUUUCAGAACAUUUUUCAAUACCUAGUUUUAUUAAAUAUUACACUUAAGAGACAAUUUUUUAAAAUGUGUUCAUGUCAACAUGAGAUUUUGGCCUUUCUCAAGAACUAAGGCAUUAAAAAAUUAGCAAAUAUUAAAAAACAAAACUGUUACUUUUCCUUACCUAUUUUCAUUUGUAGGUUCAUAUUCAGUAUUAUGUGCUAUCCUGAGCAAGUUUGCUUUAUCUGACCUCUGUUCACUUAAAAUCUGUUCAUGGCUGUCAGUAAUUCAAUUAUGUCUGUGGCUGAGUACACAUAAAGUAUGGUUUUAUUUUAUUUUUCAAGGAAAUGUAAACACUGAAGAAAGGGUAUGAACUAAAAAGCAGGAAUCUGCAUUCAGGUACAAACUGGGUUUUAAUAGAUAUUUUAUUGGGGUUGAAGAAUUGCUGGCAGUGAACAGAAUUGUGCUAAUUAUGGUUUUCAUUUAUUCAAGUAUUUGCUGAGCACCCACUCGUGGUGCUGACUCUUGUUACUGCGAGCUACCUUACUGUCCCAGAGUGGUGCCUUACCCCGCUCCUGCCCACGUGGUCUUCCAGUCAGCGUGCGAACGCACCUGUCGCUCUUAGGCCGUGCCAGGCGGCCGCGUCUGUGCUCUGAGAAACCUUCUCUUAGUAGGGUUCAUAGGAUGGAAACAGCGACAAUGGUUUUUCCGCAAAUUGUAAAUUUAAAGAAUUGGUCUGUGUACAACCAUUUUAAUGAUUCCCUUUUCAUUUUUGCUGUGAAGUGCACUGAAAAAAAUCUCAAAAUGAGCUAUAGUUCAUGUGUUGGGAAAAUUGAAAAACAAUAAAAAUAGAGACAGCAGUAUUG